UAAGACGAGCAAAAAGCUUGU
rnacentral:ncRNA from 2 species